CCUGGCCGGCGCGCGGGGCCUCUCCAUGAGAUAGGAAUAAAGUAUCACUCAUAGCAAGAAUUUCUAUGUCUCGCGUGCUUCUUGCCGGCGGAAAGUCGCGCGCGGGACAUUUGGUGCCGAGAAACCGGGACAAAAACAUCGCCGGCGCUACGAGAGGCCUCCGUUUCACGGAAGAAAUUCAGAAGCUAUGGAAUACAGUGUCUUACAGAAUUGGGUUUCAACACGUUGGUGGACUAGUCCAGGAAUUGAGACAAUCCAUCGCCCAUAUCAGCUCCACUCGAUGGAUAGUCGCCGUGAACACCAUCUGGCUUUUUCCCCUCUUUGUCUAUUGUUUGUCUCUGGUGCACCAGGAUGUCCCCAUGUCUGUCAGUGUAUGUCUGUGGUUUUUGUUUCUCGUUGUCUAAAAGUUUUAUGUUUCAUGUUCAAAAGAAAAAAUGGUAAAAACUUUAUCUGCCGGUCGUGCGCACCUUGACUUGGUUUUAACUCGUUUCAAAAAGGAACAAAUGAAUAAAAAAGUUUCAAUCAGGUUUUUAAAGCCCUGUGCCUGGAGCCAGGUGUCUAGAUUAGCUGGAGAAGCUGACCAGAAGCUAAGCGUCUACACGAGCUGAUCUUAAAAGCGCCAACAGCUUCUUCAUACAAGAGUUGAUAGCUGUUUCUCUUAAAAAAAAUCCCUAACUUAUUACUUGACUCAACAGGUGACAAGGUGCUUCUCUUAAAAUUAUAGGUAAAAGGGUAAAAAUGAUGUUUGGUCUAUAUAUUAAAGAUAGGUGUAGCCACUUCAAUUUUGUUUCUCAUUGGUUUUAAAUGUAUAAAUAUGCUCUGCUUGCCUUGGUUGUGGACUAUUGGCUUUCAAGUUAUUAGAUAUGGUUAUAAGGGUAUAAUAUUGGUAACAGAAAGUUGACAUAAAGCUGGUAAUCUGGAUGGAGUCAUUCUAGAUAACAUGUGACAUGAGCCAACCCAGGGAAACAGGUCUAAAUUGAGGUAAUAUUUUUAUGGAACUCUUAUCCUAGAAACCAGGCUUCUAAAAGAAUUUAGGACAUUGUCCCUUGUUGAGGUAUUGGAGACCACACCAUUGUGCGUCCAAAUGUAAGAAUUGACAGUCAAACUUUGUAACAUAAUAGAUAGACCUGGGGUGCCUUGGAGACUAGAUUGUUUGUUGGGGGUUGAGUUUUGCUUUCCAAAGCCAUGGCUUGCCCAGAAGUUAUCUGUAUUUUAAUGCUAAUUCCACUGCCCCAAAAACAGCUGCCUAGCAAGUUUUGCUUUCCAAAGCUGUGGCUUGCCCAGAAGUUAUCUGUAUUUUAAUGCUAAUUUCCACUGCCCAGAGAACAGCUGCCUAGUCACAUACUCAGAACUCAGGUGACCUCGUGGCUGUGUUCUGGUGUUACAAAGAGAACUUAAAGAUUGUGAUUUAGGAUUGCCAGUGUUACAUUGACUAACUCAAACUUAUUUUUAAUUAAGGAAAAAUCAAACAGGUAGAGAUUGUUACAGGAUUUAUAAGGAUUGAUGAGGUUUUAGAACUUGUGAGAGCAUUACAGCCAGUUUCCUUACUCCAACUGCCAUUUCAAG
ensembl:lncRNA